CACAUCACUUUUAUUUUGAGACUACUGGAGAUGAAAUCUGGGAAUCUACUGCCUGCCAAAGUCUUCCUGUAGAACAUGGAGCUCCGUCAAAAUUGAGCUGGUGUGAAACUGCUUUGAGCCUACAAGCACCUGCAAUACGACAAGUGCCUGCUGUACCACCACUCUCAUCUCUGAAACCACUUUCUCCAUCACCCCACAGUCAACGCAGAUGUUGCCGUAGUCGAGCAGCACAGUGCCACAGCAGCACCCUGGAACAGAGGAGCGGUUAUUUCCACCACAGCUUUCCCAUUUGGUUUCGCUCUGUCAGGAAGGAAAGAAGCUGCCACUUUCCAACAAGAACUUAUUCAGCUUGAGCAUCUCUGUAGUAAACAAUCAAUGGAACAGAAAGGCAAUGAGAAGAAAUCCACCAAGGACUUCUGAGAAGUGAAGCUACAGUCCUGCAAAGCAUGGCCUAUUAAUGCCACAGG